rnacentral:rRNA from 1 species
AGUGAACGCUGGCGGUAGGCCUAACACAUGCAAGUCGAACGGCAGCACAGUAAGAGCUUGCUCUUACGAGUGGCGAGUGGCGGACGGGUGAGGAAUACAUCGGAAUCUACUUUUUCGUGGGUGAUAACGUAGGGAAACUUACGCUAAUACCGCAUACGACCUACGGGUGAAAGCAGGGGAUCUUCGGACCUUGCGCGAUUGAAUGAGCCGAUGUCGGAUUAGCUAGUUGGCGGGGUAAAGGCCCACCAAGGCGACGAUCCGUAGCUGGUCUGAGAGGAUGAUCAGCCACACUGGAACUGAGACACGGUCCAGACUCCUACGGGAGGCAGCAGUGGGGAAUAUUGGACAAUGGGCGCAAGCCUGAUCCAGCCAUACCGCGUGGGUGAAGAAGGCCUUCGGGUUGUAAAGCCCUUUUGUUGGGAAAGAAAAGCAGCAGGUUAAUACCCCGCUGUUCUGACGGUACCCAAAGAAUAAGCACCGGCUAACUUCGUG